UCGUGGAUCUCCCCGGGGCAGAUGAAGUGGACGUGGGUGUCCACACCACCCGCCGUGAGGAUCCGGCCGUUGCCGGAGAUGACCUCGGUGCUCGGGCCGACCACGAAGUUCGUCGCCGUCACCGGCAGCCGCUCGCCAGCCUGUUCACGAGCGGAUUUCUCGAACGCCGAGACCGGGUCCAUCGUCUCGGGGUUGUACGCCUUGCCGAUGGCAUGAACUUUGCCAUCUCUGAUGCCGACGUCGGCCUUGACCACACCCCACCAGUCGAGGAUCAGCGCCCCCGUGAUGACCGUGUCCACGGGAACGCGACCCUUGUUGCCGCCCCCGUCCCUCGGGAUGUGGGACAUGCCCAUCGACUCCCGG
rfam:Streptomyces variegatus strain NRRL B-16380 contig-58, whole genome shotgun sequence.